rnacentral:rRNA from 1 species
GACGAACGCUGGCGGCGUGCUUAACACAUGCAAGUCGAACGGAAAGGCCCUGCUUUUGUGGUGUGCUCGAGUGGCGAACGGGUGAGUAACACGUGAGUAACCUGCCCUUGACUUUGGGAUAACUUCAGGAAACUGGGGCUAAUACCGUAUAGGAUCUCCUGCUGCAUGGUGGGGGUUGGAAAGUCUCGGCUGUUGGGGAUGGACUCGCGGCUUAUCAGCUUGUUGGUGGGGUAGUGGCUUGCCAAGGCUGUGACCGGUACCCGGCCUGAGAGGGUGACCGGGCACAUUGGGACUGAGAUACGGACCAGACUCGUACGGGAGGCAGCAGUGGGGAAUCUUGCACAAUGGGCGGAAGCCUGAUGCAGCAGCGCCGCGUGCGGGAUGACGGCCUUCGGGUUGUAAACCGCUUUCGCCUGUGACGAAGCGUGAGUGACGGUAAUGGGUAAAGAAGCACCGGCUAACUACGUG